GCUGCCGUGGUCGGGGCCGGCGCGGGGCCGGUGUUCUGACCGGCGGGGACGGUGUUCUGACCGCCCGGCGGGAC
rnacentral:tRNA from 1 species